rnacentral:rRNA from 1 species
UACGUAGGGGGCAAGCGUUGUCCGGAAUCAUUGGGCGUAAAGCGCGCGUAGGCGGCUGAGUAAGUCUGCUCUGCAAGCCCGGGGCUCAACCCCGGGAGGCGGGUGGAUACUGCUCAGCUCGAGUCCGGAAGAGGAGUGUGGAAUUCCUGGUGUAGCGGUGAAAUGCGCAGAUAUCAGGAGGAAAACCAAUGGAGAAGGCAGCACUCUGGGACGGUACUGACGCUGAGACGCGAAAGCGUGGGGAGCAAACAGG